UUUGAGUUUAAUUAGAUCCCAUUUGUUUAUUUUUGUUUUUAUUUUCAUUCAGCUUUAUUUUUUGUUCAAGUGAACCAUUGGAGUGCAGAGCAUACGAGGACCUUGUUGAGGCUGUUAACGCCUCGGACCAGGCUAGACAUGGUGACCUAUUUAUCUAAGGCAAUCAAUGCCACUGUAGUCAGAAAGACUCCAUAUUUGGGCCAGAAAGGAAAGCAAAGGCCAAAGGCAGAGGAGUGAUGGCAAGUAUUCAGUCUGGUAGGUAAAGUGACUAAGUGGAGAAAAUGAACCACCAAGUCUAAAGGUAGGCACACUGAGAGCCAAAUGCACAGGGGAAAAGUGCAGGGCAUGGUGGGACGGGUGGUUCAGCACAGAGCAGUGCCAGUCGUGAUGGGACCCAUUUCUAAUAUUCAUCGUGCUACCUUCUUUAUAGCUUAAAACUGCCAGAUAGGAUCAGACAUACUUGGUCUGAGAUCCUGUAAGAUCUGGCCCAGUUUAAAACCUGUAUGAGAAAACUCUGAUCACCAAAGAUAUCUCUCUGUCAGGCAGCAUUGCCUGGACAACUGGCAUGGCAGUUCUAUUAGGCUUUAUCUUGAUGACCUUUUGUUCUCUGCCCCACACUACUCGUGAUUGCUACAGGUAUGUAGCACUGCCAAGCUACAGGGUCACCUUUUCCAUUUCCUCUUCCUGGGCUCAAGCACUGUCUACAUUUCCUAGCCUCCCUUGAGUUAGGUUGUGAUCAUGUGAUGGGGCUGUGACGAAUGGAAUGUGGGAGGAAGUGAAAUGGGCCACCUCCAGGUAUGACCAUCAAAUGCCCCUUGGGACCUACCCCGUACUCUCCCUCUCUCUCUGUUCAUCAGCCAGCCGAAUGCAGAGGCUCCAAGUUGGAGGAAGCCUGUAUUCCGUUCAGGAGAGUCUACUGAAAACAUCCAGUCAGACUGUAUCUUAGGGGGAAAAUAAACCUUUGCUGUAAGCCACUAAGCACUGAAGGUUGUUUCAGCAGCUAGCACUCCCCUGACUAAUACAGGUCUAAAAAGCUACCCAUGAUAGCUUCCAACAUAGCAGGAAAUGAUUGGGAUGAUAAUAUUGAAGCAGGAUUUCCAUGAAUGUGUUAAGGUUCCACAGGUACCUCAAGGUGGAGCCAGUGAAGAUGAACAAAGGUCACAUCACUACAGAAAGACUCCUAGAUUGCAAGCUCCACCAUCAUCUCUAGCGAAGAUCUUCAAAGGAAAGGGUUGUUCUGCGGCCACGGAGGCUGGAACAAUGCCUGGCACACAGAAGGUUCUCCAUAAGUGUCAGCUGAUAGGAACUGAAUCCAAAACCCCGUGCCUACCCUGCCGUGGACAUUUCUCCAGCAGAACUUAUCAUCACAGGGCAUAUUAUACACUUGUUUGUUUGUUUGGCUGUGACACGCGGCAUGCGGGAUCUUAGUUCCCCGACCAGGGAUCGAACCGGUGCCCCCUGCGGUGGAAGCGCGGGACCCUAACCACUGGACUACCAGCUCAGGGUCUGGAGUGUCCACACCCCGCAGGGGCUUCUCUGAGAGGCCAGCUGGCUGACAGCCUCGGCAGAGCAACACCUCUUCAGGCCCACCAGGAAUUCCACGGCAUCUCCACAGCAGCCUUGGGAGAGAUGCUGAUGAGUUCUUCCACCAACCAGGGGAAAGCCACGCUUAUAAAAGCUUCCAGGCCUCAGCGAUAAUUUCUCCCCUUUCCACACCCCUCCCCGCUCCCCUGGGCCCUUUCCCAUCUUAGCUCUGUUUCUGCAGGAAGCAGGACAGAAAGGACUUGGUUUGAUGCAAGUGAAGGAGAGAGAGCACAGACUUGGAACUCUCAGGAACUGGCUUUGCAGCCCAGCUCUGCCAAAACAAGUUUGGACAAGUCACUCAACCUCUCAGCCUCAGACAAAUAACAGGAACAGACAAUUAAAGUAGGAAUAAUACUUGUGACCAUUAUUAGUAGUAGAAGUGUAAGGGCUUUGGGGUCAGAGUCCUUUGGGUCAAAUCAUGGAUUCUACCUCUUUACGGUACCUGACUUCACUCCAAGUCUAAGUUUCUCAUUUGUGAAACGGGGAACAAUAAUAGUACCUCAAAGGGUUAUUGGGAUGAUUAAAUGAGAUAAUUAGAUCUAAAGCUCUCUGCAGCAAGGGCACACAGUAAGUGCUCUAUAAAGGUCAGCAACGGUCACUUUAAUUAUAAUUGUGCCUCUUCAUGAGCCCUAUAACAUAUAGUCCAGAUUCCCAACUACACACAGUAGGUGUUAAUGGGUAGCUGUGGAAUGAAUAGAUGAAUGAAUGGAUGGACGAAUGAACAAACUCGCCAUCACUUUUGGUCUGGGACUCUUCUUCAUGCCUAAUCCCCUUUGACCUAAAUGCAAUAGAAAUUUUAGCAGCUUCAAGACUUUCAGUCUUCUUGUUUUUUCGUGACUGGAUGAGGCAGUUUAAAAUAUGUCUGCAACUCUGACACUCCCUUCAGAAGGUGGACCCUAAUUCCCCUCCUUGACUAUGAACUGAACUUAGUGCCUUGCUUCUAACAAAUAGAAUAAAGGUAGAAGUGACAGUGCGCAACUUUUAAGACCAGAUCAUAAAAAUCAUGGAGGUCUCCCUCUUGGAUCGCUUGCUCUGGGGGAAGACAGCUGCCAUGUCAUAAGCAUGCUCAAGCAGCUCUGUGGAGGGGUACAUGUGAUAAGGAACUGAGGCCUCUUGCCAACAGCCAUGUGAGUGAGCCAUCACGGAAGCAGAUCCCCUGGCCCCAGUCGAGCCUUCAGAUGAUGCAGCCCCAGUCAAAGAUUUGACUGCAUCCUCAUCAGAGACUCUGAGCAAGGACCACCCAUCUGAGCCUCUUCCAAUUUCCUGACCCAGAAAAACCAUGAGAUAAUAAGUGCUGGGGUUUUUUAAAAAAUAUAUUUAUUUAUUUAUUUGGCUGCAUCG